AUAAGGGGCAAUUGUAGUCGCCAUCCCUUUGUCGUCUUUAAAAUAAAUUCCACUGUUGCUAGUCUCGGCCUUGCUCUGCAGUUACGUUUUUCUCUUCUACUUUUACUUCCGAAUACUGCCAAUCGGAAGCCAUAUAGCAUCGCCGGAUUUGAUAGAAGUCUCUGGAUUUGUUACCUUUCAGCCAAAUCGUCUUUAGCGAGGAUGGCAGACCAUGGAUCUCCUGCUCCAAGUUUGUAUAUCUUAACACCAUUCCGAUUGGGUUGUCAUUGACAGAACUUUAUUUGGCGGUACUUCCUAGGGUUUAGCUUCAAAUAAUGGUUUCAACAACUCAUAAAUCUAGGAUGUGUAAGCCGUCAUUACGUUUGGGUUCACAAUGUUCCUUGUUUAGUCGGCCAUGCUCUGUAGGGUUUAGAACCCGUUAUUAUAUUUUCAGAACGCAUACGUCUAGGGUGUCUCUGUCGUCAGGACAUUUGGGUUGACAAUUCCCUUUGUUUA